rnacentral:rRNA from 1 species
CCCUUAGAUGUUCUGGGCCGCACGCGCGCUACACUGACUGGUGCAACAAGUGUCUGACCUUGGCUCGAGAGGCCUGGGCAACCUUUGAACGCCAGUCGUGCUGGGGAUAGAUUCUUGCAAUUAUUAAUCUUCAACGAGGAAUUCCUAGUAAACGCAAGUCAUCAGCUUGCAUUGAUUACGUCCCUGCCCUUUGUACACACCGCCCGUCGCUCCUACCGAUUGAAUGGUCCGGUGAAGCGCUCGGACCGCGGCCUCUUGACGGUUCGCUGUCGAUUGGCUGUGGGAAGUUCGUUAAACCUUAUCAUUUAGAGGAAGGAGAAGUCGUAACA